UCUCUCUCUAAAAAAAAAAAAACCCAAAAAUGGCUUUGGAGCACCAACGACGAAUUAAAGUACGAGUGCUAAGAUUUCAAGAAGCCCUUGGUCAUGGCUAUCAAGAGUCUGAUUUAUGAAUCCCAGAGCAAGUGACAUUUGGGUUUUUUAAUUAAUUUGCUAAUUUAAUUUUUGUCUUUUUAAGUUUGGGUUGUUAAUAUUCAUGCUUAAUGGUUAAAUCUUUGCAUGAAUUUUUUUGUGGUCAACGAGUAUUUUAGCUUCAAAGUAUAUGAGUUUGUGCUAAUUUAACUCUUGGAUUGUUAAGCAUAUAUAUAUAUUGUUUAUCUCAUUAGCUACUAAUUAUCCGCUAAUUUUAGCUUCUGGGCUGUGAAAUUUCUUAUUCUUCAAUUUUGGUGCUUAUCUCCUCUGUCAUCAUCAAUUUUGGUGGUUAUGUUGGGCUUUCAUUUUUCCACAGGACUUUAAGGAUAUCCUCAGGUCAUUUGGUAUCGUCUUCUUUGCGUGUCUCUCCCUCUCUUCGACAGCAACGCCUCUGAUUUUUCUUGGUAAUCGCUUUUGUGUUUUCUUGGUAUUUAGGAUCUAAGAUUUUUGGUUUAUGAAGAGCAGCUGCAGGCGAAGUAUGAGCUGCUGAAGAACUUGGACUCUAUCGCAAUGUUGUUUACUAGACCUUGGAAUGUUUGGAUUUUUAUCCGGUUUCGUGUUCAACCAACUAUUUGAUGAAUUUGUAUUCCUACUAAAGAUAUGAGUGUUGGGAAUGAAAUAAAUAUGCAAGUUUUUGCAUAAGUAAUAUACAUUUUUGCCUUCCCUCUCACAGCUUUGUUCGUUGGCUUCCUCCAUUGACCUCCACACCUACAUCUCUCUUCGUUCGAAUGUUAGAUAAGGAGUACAUCACUGACAACAUGUUGCAACUAAGGAUAUUAUGAUACUAUGAAUCAUAGAUAUGACAAAUCAAAAGCACUAUGGAUUCGAAUUGGAUUGGGUGCUUGGUGCUGUACUUUCCAUGGAUAUUUUGGAGGCGUCGUGUGAUUUACAGCGUCUAGGCCGGCCUAGCUCACAGAGAUCUUCGUUGAUGUGUUUAGGCAGAAAUUACAGAGGAGCUUAUUUGUUGGAGAUUCGAGGAGGAAAACUUAGCACCGUGGCACCACUGGAAGUGGUAAUUGCUAAUCAGGUUUUCACUCUUUUUUCCACAUACUUUGGUUCAAAGCAUGUAGAAAUGUCAAGUUUAGUUGGAUGCUAGCAAGUGGUUUCCGUUUCCAUCCUUUUGCAGCUGUCAAUUUUAGUUUACCUAUUGUAUCAUGCCUUCCAAACUUUUUAUUCCUAGAUUUUCAUAUCACAUAGUCAUUGAAUUUAGAACCUCAGCCUCUGCCCCCUAUGCUUACGAGAGAAAGGGGUGCCUGGGAAAAUAAAUCUAAUUUAUUUCAAAUUUUGAAUCAUAAACCAAGAAGAAAACUGACUUGAAACACCAAGAUCAUAGCCAAAGAGAGAGCCUCCUAAAGCUGCAAUGCAAGCAAAGACGAAAUACCAAGUAAUCCUAUACUCAUACUGAUGAGCCCUUUUAGAUACUGCUUCAUCACCACCAAAUCCUCCUGUGUCGAUUUAAGACAAUCAAGGCAUAAUCAGGAAAGUCUCUCACACCACUUACAUUUACGUCGCGGCUGAUAUAUUUUUUGCAUCCAAUUUUCCAUUAUCUACUCUUUAACUUACUUCUGUUAUAGUUAUUUCAAUCAAUUCUUUAACAUAUAUACUCUUUUUAAGGAAUUGUUGCUACACUUAUUGUCCUUCAAAGAGCAGUAUACCGGAUCAUAAAACAAUUUUCAAGUGUAGUAUUAUUCAAAAGUGUAAUGUCACUGUAAACACGGAAUUUUCCUAAAACAAACGAGACAAGAACACGUGUACAAAAUAAUAUUUGUAUUUGAUGAUUUUGGGUUACAAUCUCUCUCAAAUUUGAUCCUCUGAUUUGAUCU